UAGGGAAUCUUCGGCAAUGGACGAAAGUCUGACCGAGCAACGCCGCGUGAGUGAAGAAGGUUUUCGGAUCGUAAAACUCUGUUGUUAGAGAAGAACAAGGACGUUAGUAACUGAACGUCCCCUGACGGUAUCUAACCAGAAAGCCACGGCUAACUACGUGCCAGCAGCCGCGGUCAUACGUAGGUGGCAUGCGUUGUCCGGAUUUAUUGGGCGUAAAGCGAGCGCAGGCGGUUUCUUAAGUCUGAUGUGAAAGCCCCCGGCUCAACCGGGGAGGGUCAUUGGAAACUGGGGGACUUGAGGGCGGGAGAGGAGAGUGGAAUUCCAUGUGUAGCGGUGAAAUGCGUAGAUAUAUGGAGGAACACCAGUGGCGAAGGCGGCUCUCUGGUCAGUAACUGACGCUGAGGCUCGAAAGCGUGGGGAGCAAACAGG
rnacentral:rRNA from 1 species